CCCGGCGCCUCCUUCUCUACCCCCAGCACCCCUCUGGAGCGGUCGCCGCCAGGUAGCGUUCUCUUCGACGAGGAGAGCCCCCGAGGGAAGCGGAGCCCCGGCUGCGAGCUGCCCUUCCUGGCGCGCACCCCCUCGGCUUCGGCGCUGAGCGGACCCGCCAACAGCAUCUUCUCCUCUCCCCGGCGCUGGCUGCAGCAGAGGAAGGGGCAGCCCUCCCCGCCCGGGCCUCGCCCCGCCGCCUACGUCGUGUGGAAAUCCGAGAGUUCCCUGGCUCAUCCCAAGACUCAGAGGUUGAUCUCCAGUCCACAGACAUAAGAGGGUCUCCCUGUUUUCACUGAAUCCACAUGAAGGUGUUGGACACUUGGAGCACUUUUUUCAAAUCUUUGCAUUGUCAGACUGUGUGGCACGACACAUCUUCAGGCUGCAAAUUCAUAAGAAGAAAACCCCUCCAUGUGAUUCUGUUGUAAGAGAACAGUUUUGGGAAGGUCUGAGCCCCGUGCUGUCAGGACAAGUGAGUACCCACAUCUUUGUGCUGUCUCCCCAUGCCUGGGCUGGGUUGUAUGUCAGCUGCCAUAUAACUGGAUACCUGCUGGUUUCAGCGUUGCUAUUUUCAAGGCGUUAUACAAAUAUUAACUUAUUUAUAACUCUCAGCAAUGACAGAUAUGAAUUAUUUUAAUCUAUAUUUUAAAAUAAACUGCACAUACAUAAUUGUUAUAAUAUUCCCCCUCUUAUUGCAGGCAUGCAUCUUAAUGGUCAUUCAGCUUGGUUUAAUCAUAAAAUAGAAUUUCUCAUAAAGGAUUUAGAUGUUUGCUUUCUAUUUAGUCUUUAUUGGACAGUGACUUGUUCAGUUUUUAGGACAUGAAGGAUUCUCUACCUCUGGGGCUUCGCUCUAGCUGUGGCAAAGCAAGCGUGUUGGAGGAGGUGAAAAAAGCACAUUUUACUGGCUUUGAAAAUGAAAUACAUCAUGGCUAUGAUUUUACUCAGCUGUAAAAGGCAGCUGAGUAGAUGACUGCAAGCGUGGAAGCUUUGGUUUGAGGACUUACACGUUCCCAUCCUAUUAGCUGGCUAAUAAAAGAAGCAUUUGUUGCAAAAA